rnacentral:rRNA from 1 species
UACGAAGGGGGCUAGCGUUGCUCGGAAUGACUGGGCGUAAAGGGCGCGUAGGCGGAUGGCACAGUCAGAUGUGAAAUUCCCGGGCUUAACCUGGGGGCUGCAUUUGAUACGUGUUGUCUUGAGUUCGGAAGAGGGUCGUGGAAUUCCCAGUGUAGAGGUGAAAUUCGUAGAUAUUGGGAAGAACACCGGUGGCGAAGGCGGCGACCUGGACAAUUACUGACACUCAACUGCGAAAGCGUGGGGAGCAAACAGG